AUGGUGAGGAGGAGCCCUGCUUUUCCAACAGAAACACACACACGAAUCACUAGCAGAGAAGACGCAGCCAUGGGAUUCUGCAGUGGCUCUUCAGAUGUACAGGUGCUCCCAAACAACACAUCAUCGUCGUCGCCGUCUUCUUGGUCAGCGGCUGCUAAAGAUUCCGGCCACAGUGGCAAGAACAAGAAGCAGCACGUUGUAAAGAAGGAGGAGAGGAAGGAGAAGAAAAGGAGCAACCUUGACCGGGCUGCGCUCACGACGCCCCACUUCCCCUUUCAUUCUCGCCCCGGUCUUCUGUAAUAGAUCAACGGAGAACAAUAGUGCACACGUACGAUCCUGUAGGUUUUCCUAUUAGCCUAUGAUUUAUUCAUUGAUGGUUGGUUGUAUUUGAUUAUUAUCGGAAUUACAAUUGUUUCUUUUUAACAUACAGAGAGAUUAUGUUCAUUGUUAUUG
rnacentral:rRNA from 1 species